CCUCGCCUUACGAAUCUCCUCGCAGUAUAAAAGACACGCGUCCUCCACAAGGGCCACACAGUUGCGAUCGCUCUGCUUCCAACUAACUGCUACACUAUGAAGACGUCCCUGGUGAUCUUUGCCGCUGCGCUGCUGGUGGUGUUGGCUGUGUACCCUUCACGUGCGGAGGCGGCGGCUGCAGCAGCACCAGUGGCGGGGCACCACGGAGGCCGGUACGGACCGCCACCGCACUACGGAGGACCACCACACCACGGACACCAUGGCGGCUACCACGGCAGGCCGCCACACUAUGGAGGGCACUAUCCCCACCACGGCUGAGUGCCAGGCGUGUUGCUGCUGCAGCAGUCGGAAUUACCUGCCUGAUAUAUUCAGAUUAUCACAUUAGCAAAUGCGGUGCCUGUACUCUGUACCUUCUUGACAAUAAAUUAUUGUAUUUUUAAA
rnacentral:lncRNA from 1 species